GGGGAUGUGGCUCAGUGUUAGGGCAUUUGUCUAGUAAGUACAAGGUUCUGAGUUUGCCUCUUAGCACCCCA
rnacentral:tRNA from 1 species